CCAAUAGCGUAUAUUAAAGUUGUUGCAGUUAAAAAGCUCGUAGUUGAAUUUUGGGUUUGGCCGAUUGGUCCGUUCUUGUAGCGAGUACUGGUCGGUUGGACCUCACCGCUUGGGGAAGGGUAAUGUCCUUUAUUGGGUGUUGCUCGGAGCCAAGACCUUUACCUUGAAAAAAUUAGAGUGUUUAAAGCAGGCUUAUGCCGGAAUACAUUAGCAUGGAAUAAUAGAAUAGGACAACGAUUCUAUUUUGUUGGUUUCUAGGACCGUUGUAAUGAUUAAUAGGGAUAGUUGGGGACAUUAGUAUUCAAUUGUCAGAGGUGAAAUUCUUGGAUUUAUUGAAGACUAACUACUGCGAAAGCAUUUGUCAAGGAUGUUUUCAUUAAUCAAGAACGAAAGUUAGGGGAUCGAAGACGAUCAGAUACCGUCGUAGUCUUAACCAUAAACUAUGCCGACUAGGGAUCGGGCGAUGUUGUUUCAAUGACUCGCUCGGCACCUUAUG
rnacentral:rRNA from 1 species